CGCAGGACACACCGGUCUUUACCUACUCGGUAAAAUGUCAAUGUUUUACGAAGGCUCCCCUGUGAGCUAGAGUGCAAAUUGGUUUCGUUUGCAAAUCUAAUUUUGCCAUCCUUAUCAUCGUCUGCAACCGUCGUCGUCGGUUCACUAGCACUUCCUGUCAAAAGUGGUGGGUAUUCAAAGCUGUAGGUUUACAAAAUUAACGAGUCAAGUGGCACCUUUAUCUCAGCGCAGAUCCGCCGUCUGAAUGGUGGUUACGCUGGAAAGAUUACAAAUGGGUCCUUCCGGGAUGAGGUUCCAAAGAGACAGGUAGCAAUUAUGGAUCAGCGUAAUUAAAUAACCACAUUCAGCGUAUAAAAGAGGCCCAGGUGGGAUGGAAUCGUUCUUCUUCACCGACUUUGGUUUACAGGCACAAGAACUUAGUUCUGUUGGUGGCAAUUAGACAUUUGUUCGAGUUUAUCGCAUUCCAUAUCAAAAUCUCAUCCAGACUCUUUCCACCCAAGUUUGUAUGAAAGGGGAUUUUCGAAACAAGCUAAGCAUCUAAUUUUUAGGUAAUUAUUUAAACUUUAAAGAUCACAUAAUGCAGUUUUGAGAAUUUCUUUGAAAAUAAAAAUAUUUCUACAAACAAUCCUCUGGAUAAGUAACUAGGAUUUCCUGCAAAAAAAUCAUAAAUGAAUUAUUACAGAAACUUUUAAAUUCACAUUUUUUUAGGAUCCGAGAGAAAAAAUCCUACACAGCAAGAAAUAAUGAAAUUUAAACGACAUGUAAUACACGGAGAUUGUAUAUUUACAUUACUUUAAACUACGAAAUGAUUGAAAUUUGAGUUGAUAUCAAUGCACAUAAUAGGAACAUGAAAAAACACACAAUAUUACACUUUUGAUCACAUUUUAUUAUUGCACAGAGUAUUUUUCAAUAACUUCAGUGAAAACUAAAUCUAAAUCAAUUUAAUUUUAAUCAAAUAAAAGUUUAAAAUUCAAUCAACAUUUAAAAUUACAGUACAUCCCAUUCGUUGACAAAAUAAAUAUGGCUGCCCAUCAAAACUGCAUCGCAGUCAAUUCAAUCCAGUGUUUAUGUUGUGAGUGUUUUACUUGAUUAUAAAUUUUGAAAUCCAAAUUGAGUGCGCAUAAACGAGUGGUCACCAUAAUUGUCAUCAUCAGAUAUCCGUAAUCCAACGCUUACUCCUGUUCUCAAUCAUCACCAGCGAGCAGCAUUUUUCUUAUGGAUUAACAAGAUAUGCAGUGCCUUGAAGAAAUUAAGUAUAUUCAUGUGGCUCACAUUAUCUAGAAUCUUGAAGUGAAAUAAAGAAUUUACAAUAUUCAUAACUGUGUUGAAUAUUUUACUUUUCUGAUGCAAGCGGAAGAAAGACGCAUGAUAGCAAUGGGAACGAAUGGGAAGGGAAGCAAGCAAAAUUCAACGACGUUUAAAUUUACACGAUUGCUCCACUUUUUGGAUUCAUGUAAAAUUCAACCGCGGUGUAAAAUUGUGUGUAUUUCGAUGCUCCAAAUAUGUGCAUGAAAAUAAAUUUAAAAUUACAUUUCUGUUUUAACUGUGUAGGAUUCCCAAGAAAAGGUCAUGGAAGAGAUAUAACACAGUUAAAACAGAAAUGUAAUUUUAAAUUUAUUUUCAUGCACAUAUUUGGAGCAUCGAAAUACACACAAUUUUACACCGCGGUUGAAUUUUACAUGAAUCCAAAAAGUGGAGCAAUCGUGUAAAUUUAAACGUCGUUGAAUUUUGCUUGCUUCCCUUCCCAUUCGUUCCCAUUGCUAUCAUGCGCCUUUCUUCCGCUUGCAUCAGAAAAGUAAAAUAUUCAACACAGUUAUGAAUAUUGUAAAUUCUUUAUUUCACUUCAAGAUUCUAGAUAAUGUGAGCCACAUGAAUAUACUUAAUUUCUUCAAAUCACUGCAUAUCUUGUUAAUCCAUAAGAAAAAUGCUGCUCGCUGGUGAUGAUUGAGAACAGGAGUAAGCGUUGGAUUACGGAUAUCUGCAAAGAACACAUCAGUUAACAAUAUUCUUCGGCACCGCAUAUUCAACAGAAUCUUACCUGAUGAUGACAAUUAUGGUGACCACUCGUUUAUGCGCACUCAAUUUGGAUUUCAAAAUUUAUAAUCAAGUAAAACACUCACAACAUAAACACUGGAUUGAAUUGACUGCGAUGCAGUUUUGAUGGGCAGCCAUAUUUAUUUUGUCAACGAAUGGGAUGUACUGUAAUUUUAAAUGUUGAUUGAAUUUUAAACUUUUAUUUGAUUAAAAUUAAAUUGAUUUAGAUUUAGUUUUCACUGAAGUUAUUGAAAAAUACUCUGUGCAGUAAUAAAAUGUGAUCAAAAGUGUAA